rnacentral:rRNA from 11 species
AGGUGAAAAGUUUUCUGCCUAGAGAGGAGCUCGCGGCUGAUUAGCUAGUUGGUGGGGUAAUGGCCUACCAAGGCGACGAUCAGUAACUGAUUUGAGAGGAUGAUCAGUCACACUGGAACUGAGACACGGUCCAGACUCCUACGGGAGGCAGCAGUGGGGAAUUUUCUGCAAUGGGCGAAAGCCUGACAGAGCAAUACCGCGUGAGGGAUGACAGUCCUAUGGAUUGUAAACCUCUUUUUUCAGGGAGGAAGUUCUGACGUUACCUGAAGAAUAAGCAUCGGCUAACUCCGUGCCAGCAGCCGCGGUAAUACGGAGGAUGCAAGUGUUAUCCGGAAUCA